GCGGAUGUGAUGGAAUUGGUAGACAUGCAAGAUUUAGGUUCUUGUGCGCAAGCGUGUGGGUUCGAGUCCCUUCAUCCGCA
rnacentral:tRNA from 1 species